rnacentral:rRNA from 1 species
UGGGGGAUAUUGCACAAUGGGCGAAAGCCUGAUGCAGCGACGCCGCGUGGGGGAUGAAGGCCUUCGGGUUGUAAACUUCUUUUGCUCUGAACAAGGCAUGCUAAUGGGUGUGUUGAGUGUAGGGGUUGAUUAGCGCCGGCUAACUACGUGCCAGCAGCCGCGGUAAUACGUAGGGCGCGAGCGUUGUCCGGAAUUAUUGGGCGUAAAGGGCUUGUAGGUGGCUGGUUGCGUCUGUCGUGAAAGCUCAUGGCUGAACUGUGGGUUUGCGGUGGGUACGGGCUGGCUUGAGUGCAGUAGGGGAGGCUGGAAUUCCUGGUGUAGCGGUGGAAUGCGCAGAUAUCAGGAGGAAUACCGGUGGCGAAGGCGGGUCUCUGGGCUGUUACUGACACUGAGGAGCAAAAGCAUGGGGAGCGAACAGG